rnacentral:rRNA from 1 species
UACGUAGGGUGCAAGCGUUGCCCGGAUUUAUUGGGCGUAAAGAGCGUGUAGGCGGCCGCACAGGUCCGUUGUGAAAACUGGAGGCUUAACCUUCAGACGUCGAUGGAAACCGUGCGGCUAGAGUCCGGAAGAGGAGAAUGGAAUUCCUGGUGUAGCGGUGAAAUGCGCAGAUAUCAGGAAGAACACCCGUGGCUAAGGCGGUUCUCUAGUACGGUACUGACGCUGAGACGCGAAAGCGUGGGGAGCGAACAGG